rnacentral:rRNA from 1 species
GGUUAAGCGACUAAGCGUACACGGUGGAUGCCCUGGCAGUCAGAGGCGAUGAAGGACGUGCUAAUCUGCGAUAAGCGUCGGUAAGGUGAUAUGAACCGUUAUAACCGGCGAUUUCCGAAUGGGGAAACCCAGUGUGUUUCGACACACUAUCAUUAACUGAAUCCAUAGGUUAAUGAGGCGAACCGGGGGAACUGAAACAUCUAAGUACCCCGAGGAAAAGAAAUCAACCGAGAUUCCCCCAGUAGCGGCGAGCGAACGGGGAGCAGCCCAGAGCCUGAAUCAGUAUGUGUGUUAGUGGAAGCGUCUGGAAAGGCGCGCGAUACAGGGUGACAGCCCCGUACACAAAAAUGCACAUAUUGUGAGCUCGAUGAGUAGGGCGGGACACGUGGUAUCCUGUCUGAAUAUGGGGGGACCAUCCUCCAAGGCUAAAUACUCCUGACUGACCGAUAGUGAACCAGUACCGUGAGGGAAAGGCGAAAAGAACCCCGGCGAGGGGAGUGAAAAAGAACCUGAAACCGUGUACGUACAAGCAGUGGGAGCACGCUUAGGCGUGUGACUGCGUACCUUUUGUAUAAUGGGUCAGCGACUUAUAUUCUGUAGCAAGGUUAACCGAAUAGGGGAGCCGAAGGGAAACCGAGUCUUAACUGGGCGUUAAGUUGCAGGGUAUAGACCCGAAACCCGGUGAUCUAGCCAUGGGCAGGUUGAAGGUUGGGUAACACUAACUGGAGGACCGAACCGACUAAUGUUGAAAAAUUAGCGGAUGACUUGUGGCUGGGGGUGAAAGGCCAAUCAAACCGGGAGAUAGCUGGUUCUCCCCGAAAGCUAUUUAGGUAGCGCCUCGUGAAUUCAUCUCCGGGGGUAGAGCACUGUUUCGGCAAGGGGGUCAUCCCGACUUACCAACCCGAUGCAAACUGCGAAUACCGGAGAAUGUUAUCACGGGAGACACACGGCGGGUGCUAACGUCCGUCGUGAAGAGGGAAACAACCCAGACCGCCAGCUAAGGUCCCAAAGUCAUGGUUAAGUGGGAAACGAUGUGGGAAGGCCCAGACAGCCAGGAUGUUGGCUUAGAAGCAGCCAUCAUUUAAAGAAAGCGUAAUAGCUCACUGGUCGAGUCGGCCUGCGCGGAAGAUGUAACGGGGCUAAACCAUGCACCGAAGCUGCGGCAGCGACGCUUAUGCGUUGUUGGGUAGGGGAGCGUUCUGUAAGCCUGUGAAGGUGUGCUGUGAGGCAUGCUGGAGGUAUCAGAAGUGCGAAUGCUGACAUAAGUAACGAUAAAGCGGGUGAAAAGCCCGCUCGCCGGAAGACCAAGGGUUCCUGUCCAACGUUAAUCGGGGCAGGGUGAGUCGACCCCUAAGGCGAGGCCGAAAGGCGUAGUCGAUGGGAAACAGGUUAAUAUUCCUGUACUUGGUGUUACUGCGAAGGGGGGACGGAGAAGGCUAUGUUGGCCGGGCGACGGUUGUCCCGGUUUAAGCGUGUAGGCUGGUUUUCCAGGCAAAUCCGGAAAAUCAAGGCUGAGGCGUGAUGACGAGGCACUACGGUGCUGAAGCAACAAAUGCCCUGCUUCCAGGAAAAGCCUCUAAGCAUCAGGUAACAUCAAAUCGUACCCCAAACCGACACAGGUGGUCAGGUAGAGAAUACCAAGGCGCUUGAGAGAACUCGGGUGAAGGAACUAGGCAAAAUGGUGCCGUAACUUCGGGAGAAGGCACGCUGAUAUGUAGGUGAAGUCCCUCGCGGAUGGAGCUGAAAUCAGUCGAAGAUACCAGCUGGCUGCAACUGUUUAUUAAAAACACAGCACUGUGCAAACACGAAAGUGGACGUAUACGGUGUGACGCCUGCCCGGUGCCGGAAGGUUAAUUGAUGGGGUUAGCCGCAAGGCGAAGCUCUUGAUCGAAGCCCCGGUAAACGGCGGCCGUAACUAUAACGGUCCUAAGGUAGCGAAAUUCCUUGUCGGGUAAGUUCCGACCUGCACGAAUGGCGUAAUGAUGGCCAGGCUGUCUCCACCCGAGACUCAGUGAAAUUGAACUCGCUGUGAAGAUGCAGUGUACCCGCGGCAAGACGGAAAGACCCCGUGAACCUUUACUAUAGCUUGACACUGAACAUUGAGCCUUGAUGUGUAGGAUAGGUGGGAGGCUUAGAAGUGUGGACGCCAGUCUGCAUGGAGCCGACCUUGAAAUACCACCCUUUAAUGUUUGAUGUUCUAACGUUGACCCGUAAUCCGGGUUGCGGACAGUGUCUGGUGGGUAGUUUGACUGGGGCGGUCUCCUCCUAAAGAGUAACGGAGGAGCACGAAGGUUGGCUAAUCCUGGUCGGACAUCAGGAGGUUAGUGCAAUGGCAUAAGCCAGCUUGACUGCGAGCGUGACGGCGCGAGCAGGUGCGAAAGCAGGUCAUAGUGAUCCGGUGGUUCUGAAUGGAAGGGCCAUCGCUCAACGGAUAAAAGGUACUCCGGGGAUAACAGGCUGAUACCGCCCAAGAGUUCAUAUCGACGGCGGUGUUUGGCACCUCGAUGUCGGCUCAUCACAUCCUGGGGCUGAAGUAGGUCCCAAGGGUAUGGCUGUUCGCCAUUUAAAGUGGUACGCGAGCUGGGUUUAGAACGUCGUGAGACAGUUCGGUCCCUAUCUGCCGUGGGCGCUGGAGAACUGAGGGGGGCUGCUCCUAGUACGAGAGGACCGGAGUGGACGCAUCACUGGUGUUCGGGUUGUCAUGCCAAUGGCACUGCCCGGUAGCUAAAUGCGGAAGAGAUAAGUGCUGAAAGCAUCUAAGCACGAAACUUGCCCCGAGAUGAGUUCUCCCUGAC